UAGAUGAUGUUGGGGGUUGGUGUGCCACCGAAUUACCUCUGCUAGAAGGUUUAUUCUCCAAGCGUGUUAGAGGUACGGAUUCUCUAGCGCGCUUAGUAGCUGAUUGUUGGAUGGUUUCCUUUUCUUGUUGUUGAGAUUUUUUAAGCCGGUGUUGAAAUUGCAGGCUUCCAAGGCAGAUCUUCAUCAUUCGAGUACUUACCGCCACCAGCCUCAACAGCAGCAAUAUUCACAGUGGUCAUUCUCACUUUUGGUAAUUUUUUUCUGUGCCUAAUUACCCAAACGAUUUGAAAGUGAUUGAGCUGCAAGAUGGACCAUUUUGUCUUAUCCGGGGGAACAAGUGUUACAAGCAAUUUCCGUUUCUGCUUGCUGCCGAUAUGGUGUAUACGAUACCUACCCACCGAUGCCCAUCAACAAUCACCUGCAUUGUCCGAUCUUUGGUAAAUUUUGUAGUGUGACAGAAGAUUCAUCCGGCACCUGGUAUGGUUCAAAAAAAAAAAAUACCAAGCAACUUGAUCUUCGAGAUGUGGUCUGCAGAUGACCUUUAGCGGAGGCAAGGAUAGCUGUGUUUAUGAAUCUGGCAACAAAACAUCCGUUGGGAGGCAGAAGAUAUAAAAACAGCCAUCACCCCCAGCAGCCGACGCAAUUCAGUUUAAAUGAAGGCGCAGAAGCCUUCCUUAUUCAGAUUAAGGAUUAGAUCCGAAUAUCAGGUUCAGGUUUUAUAUUCAAUAUCAGAUUUCACUACCAGAUCUAGAUGCAGUUUCAGAUAUAAGAUUUAGAU